rnacentral:sRNA from 1 species
UUCCCUCUAGAACGUUGAAGAAUAAUAGACUGCAGCUCGUGGCCACCAAUUGUUGAGCGCCCCAGAUUUGCUUUUCCUUUCCUUUUGUUCUAAAUGAUUAGCACAUUGCUUCGAUGGCUGCUCGUCAUAUGCCAACGCAUAGACAAUCGAUGGUCUCUACCAUGCCAUCAUGAGGAAGAACCCACUACAAUCCCUAUCGAAUGUAUAUAUCCCUCUAAUUCGCCAAAUGCAAAGCUCGGAGGCUAAAUUUCCGUCCCGGAGAAUAAAAUGAACAAUAAUAACAACACCUACCCCUGCCCAUUCAUUUUAACUUCAUGCAUUAAACAUCCCCAAUAACAUCCCUCAAAAGUUCCGGCACAACUACGCUUGCAUCCCCCUGGAAAAACCAGUCCCCAGGCAACAUCCCCCCUGGAGGUAUGUCCUCGAUAUCCAUAUUAACAACCGCCACACGUGCCCCCUUAUCCCGUGCGUCCUCCACAUACCCCGCGGCAGGGAAAACCUGCGCCGUGGUUCCGAUGACAAGGAUAAGAUCAAUCCUAUCCGCAUCGUCAAUCCACUUCUGAACGGCAUCUACUGUCUUAAGAGGGAGCGCCUCGCCAAACCAUACCACACCCGGCCGGAGGAUGUUUUCCUUGCAUAGAGGGCAUUGGGGCAGAUCCGCUGAUGCGAUGUGCGGGAUGGGUACGUUUGCGUUGGAGAUAUCGAGUUCUACACCCUCCCCCCUCUGUGCUGCUGCUGUUGUUCCUGCAGGUGAAGCGUGCGGCUCACUUUUCCAUUGCAUAGCAGCGGAGAGAGACUUAGCGGCCUCUUCACCUGUCUUGUCGUUCGCAGAGGGAACUGGUUCGGGGCCAGCUUUGGGAAUACCAAGAGCUGGCACGAUGGGAUCGUUGUAGUCCUGCGUAGCGUAAGUGCAGAAGGGAGAGGCACACUUUACGUCGAAGAGGGAGCCAUGGAGAAGGUGGAGCUGGGAUUCCGGAUGGCGGGCUCGCGAGGAAAGGCCUGGAGAAAUUGAAAUCGGGGCCACCGUCAGAAUUCACAUCACUCUAACUUGGAUCAUAUCUUGUGCGUAAUGUAUGCUAUGUCACUUUGAAGGAAAAAUAACUCCCUACUGGUCGUACCAUCUAUAUUCUGGGUUA